AAAAAUGCAGUAAUGUGAUAAAUCUUAGUAGGCUAUUAUAUACACUUUAUGUAUAUAUAUAAUACAGGCUUAUAUAUAUAAUAUAGGCAUAUAUAUAUUCUCUAUUAUUAACUUAAUUUAGUGACAAACCAUUAAGCUUCACCUUUCCAUUAGAUGCUUUUUCUGCCUAAAGGACUCUACACUUAGAUGGCUGCAUGAAGUAUCUGGGUCUCAGUUAAAUGUCAGUUCUUCAUUGAAGCCUUCCCUGAUGAGCCAGUUUAUAAUAGCCUACUAAGAUCUAUCACAUUACUGGAUUUUAGCUUUUCUGAAUAUUUUUGCUAUAUUAUAGUGUCUGUUUAUUUAUGUGUUCACUUCUUUGUCAUCUGUCCUUCUCCAAAAGAAUGUGCUAGGGACUUCAUGCUUCUCAUUCAUUGAUGUAUCCCCAGAAUGACCAGUGCCUGGCACAUGGUAAUUUCAGUUACAAUUUCUUCAACCAAUGGUUCAUUCUUGCUUCUCAUGGAUACAACAUCAUUUUAUCUGAAAAAAAUAAGUACCCCCAGUCCAUGACUAUUUUUGAGCAAAUGAGGAUAGUAACAGUAUAAGAUUUUUAGUGGCAUUUUCAAUGAAAGAAUUAUACAACAAUCCCUGAUUACUCUUUGUCUUUAUGUGUCCAUAAUUUUACUGCUAACACUAAGAGAGUGUAUCUUGCUGUUAUCAACUCUGGCCACAUCUUCACAAGUACAUAUAGCAGGUCACUAUUUUGUUUUACAAACAGAAGUUGAUUAAGUUGUCCAUUCUGUAGGACCCACAACAAACCACAGCCCAAUAUAGCAGCAGAAUGUAAGGAUUUAGAAGGCCUAAAAUCUACAAGCUCAGGAAGACACCCAAUUAACAGAAAUUAAAGUUCAAAUCUGACUCAUCCACCUACUGGAAAUUCUGGGCUGUCAAACAAUAUCCAAGCUUAUUUUGCAAUCAGAUUAAAGCUCUGGGCCUUGUGGGGGCCGGAGAUUGGAAUUCUAUUUUAAAAAGAAACGUGUAAGGCACUCUGCUUCCCAUCAAGAAGUGUAAUGAGUAGGUUUCACCUAUGAUCCCCAGUCCCAAAUGAUUGAACUGGCAUUAGUGCCAAAAAAAUUGAAAAUGUCUUAACAUGCAUUAAUCGCUUAAUGGAUGUGUUGUCUGCCUGAAAAGGGCGGGGUGGUAUUUAGGUUGCUUAAUGACUUUACAUUUUCCCAUGGCAAAAUACUUGUGAUUUGAUUAUGCUGUAAUUAAAGAGUUACAUAAACAAUAUCUUUGGAAAGGAACAAACGGGCUUCCUUGAAAGAGGGAUUUUGGUCAGCUCCAGCUGGUAUCUCAGGCCCCUUCAUGAGGAGAAAACUCUCACCCCCAGGAAAAGAGAAGAGAGAGCCAGAA
rnacentral:lncRNA from 10 species